rnacentral:rRNA from 1 species
UACGUAGGGUGCAAGCGUUAUCCGGAAUUAUUGGGCGUAAAGAGCUCGUAGGCGGUCUGUCGCGUCUGCUGUGAAAACUCAGGGCUUAACCCUGAGCUUGCAGUGGGUACGGGCAGACUAGAGUGCGGUAGGGGAGACUGGAAUUCCUGGUGUAGCGGUGAAAUGCGCAGAUAUCAGGAGGGAACACCGGUGGCGAAGGCGGGUCUCUGGGCCGAUACUGACACUGGAGGAGCGAAAAGCCGUGGGGAGCGAACAGG